GGAAGGUUCCAGAACAAUCAGGAACGUUCUGGAAACAAUUAAGGCAGACAGACUGAUUAGAACACCUGCAGCCAAUCAAGAAGCUGCUAGAAUCAAUUAAGACAUGCUAAUCAGGACACCUGGGUUUAAAAAGAAGCUCAUGCCAGUUUGUGGUGUGUGUGAGGAGCUGGGAGCAAGAGGCACCAGGAGCUGAGAGUGAGAAGGCGUACUGCUGGAGGACUGAGGAGUACAAGCAUUAUCAGACACCAGGAGGAAGGUCCUACGAACAAGAUCCCAUUGCUGGAAACUGAAGAUUGACAAAUUAAGACUAGAAGUGAUGGGAUUAGCGUGCAUUCCUCCACCUUCCCACCAGUGCCUCUGCCUAUCGUCUUCCAGGGUGCAUCAUUAUUUUAUUACACAACCUGCAGGGCUGAUGUUGAUCUGAAGCUGAUA